GACGAACGCUGGCGGCGUGCUUAACACAUGCAAGUCGAACGGAAAGGCCCUGCUGUUGUGGGGUGCUCGAGUGGCGAACGGGUGAGUAACACGUGAGUAACCUGCCCUUGACUUUGGGAUAACUUCAGGAAACUGGGGCUAAUACCGGAUAGGAGCUCCUGCUGCAUGGUGGGGGUUGGAAAGUUUCGGCGGUUGGGGAUGGACUCGCGGCUUAUCAGCUUGUUGGUGGGGUAGUGGCUUACCAAGGCUUUGACGGGUAGCCGGCCUGAGAGGGUGACCGGCCACAUUGGGACUGAGAUACGGCCCAGACUCCUACGGGGGGCAGCAGUGGGGAAUAUUGCGCAAUGGGCGGAAGCCUGAUGCAGCAACGCCGCGUGCGGGAUGACGGCCUUCGGGUUGUAAACCGCUUUCGCCUGUGACGAAGCGUGAGUGACGGUAAUGGGUAAAGAAGCACCGGCUAACUACGUG
rnacentral:rRNA from 1 species